CUUUAUGGCGGGCGGUGCGUGGAGGUGGGUGAAAACCCACCUGCCGGUUAGUGCUUACGCGACCACCGGAUUUCCAGCCACGUACCGUCCGCCGCCUUG
rnacentral:antisense_RNA from 1 species